rnacentral:rRNA from 1 species
GACGAACGCUGGCGGCGUGCUUAACACAUGCAAGUCGAACGGAAAGGCCCUGCUUUUGUGGGGUGCUCGAGUGGCGAACGGGUGAGUAACACGUGAGUAACCUGCCCUUGACUUUGGGAUAACUUCAGGAAACUGGGGCUAAUACCGGAUAGGAGCUCCUGCUGCAUGGUGGGGGUUGGAAAGUUUCGGCGGUUGGGGAUGGACUCGCGGCUUAUCAGCUUGUUGGUGGGGUAGUGGCUUACCAAGGCUUUGACGGGUAGCCGGCCUGAGAGGGUGACCGGCCACAUUGGGACUGAGAUACGGCCCAGAAUCCUACGGGAGGCAGCAGUGGGGAAUAUUGCGCAAUGGGCGGAAGCCUGAUGCAGCAACGCCGCGUGCGGGAUGACGGCCUUCGGGUUGUAAACCGAUUUCGCCUGUGACGAAGCGUGAGUGACGGUAAUGGGUAAAGAAGCACCGGCUAACUACGUG